UAGGGGCUCCCCCGUUCUAGGUCAUGCCUCUUGCUCUCUUCCUUGGCCUGUGUUGAGUGAGGUGUGUUCCUGUGGUGGACGAAAGUCUGUACGAUGGUUGGUGGCAUUGGUCCUUAAUCCUUUGGGUCUGUUUUAAGAUUAAUUAAAAGAAGAAUGAACUAUAAUCCUUGAAGAUAACUGGGCAGUUUUUUAAGUCGGAGGCUGUUCUUACUGGUGUGAGGAUUUACACACGUCUUCAGUUUUUCAGCACAGACCAGCAGACCAUCAUUUUUAGAGGAAAUACUCCCUCUGCCCUCCUUUUUGGUUUCCUUGGUGGUAAAGAUUAAAUUUGGUUGCAUCAUUUUGACUUGUGUUUGAGUCUAGAUUUUAUGGCACAAGGAAUGGCAUAAACUUUUCAUGUGUUUUGGUUAAAACAAACCAGACCAUUGCAUUGACCCUGGACAUCUUUAACUGAGAAAUUGGUAACUUUAUUUUAAUAUGUAUAUCUGAAGAAUUCAAGAAAACAAAGGCAUCCUCAGAGGUGUGCCUUUUUUCUUUAUUAUUAGAGGCAAAACGAACAAUUUUAUAGGAUUUGUAGUGAAAUUAUACCAGAUUAUAAG
rnacentral:sRNA from 1 species